rnacentral:rRNA from 4 species
GGGUUGUGAGGUUAAGCGACUAAGCGUACACGGUGGAUGCCCUGGCAGUCAGAGGCGAUGAAGGGCGUGCUAAUCUGCGAUAAGCGCCGGUAAGGUGAUAUGAACCGUUAUAACCGGCGAUACCCGAAUGGGGAAACCCAGUGUGAUUCGUCACACUAUCAUUAACUGAAUCCAUAGGUUAAUGAGGCGAACCGGGGGAACUGAAACAUCUAAGUACCCCGAGGAAAAGAAAUCAACCGAGAUUCCCCCAGUAGCGGCGAGCGAACGGGGAGGAGCCCAGAGCCUGAAUCAGCAUGUGUGUUAGUGGAAGCGUCUGGAAAGGCGCGCGAUACAGGGUGACAGCCCCGUACACAAAAGCGCAUGUGCUGUGAGCUCGAUGAGUAGGGCGGGACACGUGGUAUCCUGUCUGAAUAUGGGGGGACCAUCCUCCAAGGCUAAAUACUCCUGACUGACCGAUAGUGAACCAGUACCGUGAGGGAAAGGCGAAAAGAACCCCGGCGAGGGGAGUGAAAAAGAACCUGAAACCGUGUACGUACAAGCAGUGGGAGCACAGGUUUACCUGUGUGACUGCGUACCUUUUGUAUAAUGGGUCAGCGACUUAUAUUCUGUAGCAAGGUUAACCGUAUAGGGGAGCCGGAGGGAAACCGAGUCUUAACCGGGCGUUAAGUUGCAGGGUAUAGACCCGAAACCCGGUGAUCUAGCCAUGGGCAGGUUGAAGGUUGGGUAACACUAACUGGAGGACCGAACCGACUAAUGUUGAAAAAUUAGCGGAUGACCUGUGGCUGGGGGUGAAAGGCCAAUCAAACCGGGAGAUAGCUGGUUCUCCCCGAAAGCUAUUUAGGUAGCGCCUCGUGAAUUCAUCUCCGGGGGUAGAGCACUGUUUCGGCUAGGGGGCCAUCCCGGCUUACCAACCCGAUGCAAACUGCGAAUACCGGAGAAUGUUAUCACGGGAGACACACGGCGGGUGCUAACGUCCGUCGUGAAGAGGGAAACAACCCAGACCGCCAGCUAAGGUCCCAAAGUCAUGGUUAAGUGGGAAACGAUGUGGGAAGGCCCAGACAGCCAGGAUGUUGGCUUAGAAGCAGCCAUCAUUUAAAGAAAGCGUAAUAGCUCACUGGUCGAGUCGGCCUGCGCGGAAGAUGUAACGGGGCUAAACCAUGCACCGAAGCUGCGGCAGCGA